GACGAACGCUGGCGGCGUGCCUAAUACAUGCAAGUAGAACGCACAGUUUAUACCGUAGCUUGCUACACCAUAGACUGUGAGUUGCGAACGGGUGAGUAACGCGUAGGUAACCUGCCUGGUAGCGGGGGAUAACUAUUGGAAACGAUAGCUAAUACCGCAUAAUAUUAAUUAUUGCAUGAUAAUUAAUUGAAAGGUGCAAUUGCACCACUACCAGAUGGACCUGCGUUGUAUUAGCUAGUAGGUGAGGUAACGGCUCACCUAGGCGACGAUACAUAGCCGACCUGAGAGGGUGAUCGGCCACACUGGGACUGAGACACGGCCCAGACUCCUACGGGAGGCAGCAGUAGGGAAUCUUCGGCAAUGGACGAAAGUCUGACCGAGCAACGCCGCGUGAGUGAAGAAGGUUUUCGGAUCGUAAAGCUCUGUUGCAAGAGAAGAACAGGUGUGAGAGUGGAAAGUUCACACUGUGACGGUAUCUUACCAGAAAGGGACGGCUAACUACGUG
rnacentral:rRNA from 1 species